rnacentral:rRNA from 1 species
GCAAGUCAUACGAGAAAGUUACCUUCGGGUGGCGAGUAAAGUGGCGCACGGGUGAGUAACACGUAGGUAAUCUGCCUUUUGGUGGGGGAUAACCAGGAGAAAUCCUGGCUAAUACCGCAUAAGUAAGCAAUUAGAAAGGAUGCUCCGGCAUUCGCCGAAAGAUGAGCCUGCGGGACAUUAGAUUGAUGGUGGGGUAAUGGCCUACCAUGUCAGCGAUGUCUAGCUGGUCUGAGAGGAUGAUC